GGGAGGUUAGCUCAGGGGUAGAGCGAUCGCCUCACACGCGAUAGGUCACAAGUUCGAAACUUGUACUUCCCACCA
rnacentral:tRNA from 19 species